AUGCAAUUUUUAUCUGAAGAGGAAGCGUAUUUAUUUUAUAACAACUAUGCUAAAGCUAUUGGUUUUAGCAUCAGAAGAAGCAGUGGUCAUAAAGUACCAAACUCUUCUACACUGCAGCAACGGACAUUUACAUGCUCUCGUCAAGGCCAUCGUCGGGAAGAUAAAAGAGAGGAGACAUUCAUUUACAGUAGGCCUGAAACACGAUGUGGCUGUGAUGCCCGUAUGAAGAUUAGCCUUAGAAAUGGAGUUUAUUAUGUGUAUGAAUUCGAGGGGGCACAUAAUCACAAUCUUGCUCAUGGAAUCAUGGCCCAAUACCUGAGAUCCCAGAGAAAAGUGACAGAAGCACAGAUAGCAAAUGCAGAGAUCGCAAAGUCAGUAGGUAUCUCAAAUAAAGCAACAAUCGAUUUGAUGGCCAAAGAAGCAUGUGGGAGUGAAAACCUUGGGUUUAUACCUCAAGAUAUGAAAAACCGUUUGUACUCAAAGAGAACAAUAAAAGCGAAGGUAGGUGACACCGGGGGAGUAUUAGAAUACAUGGAGAAAAAGGUCUCGGAAGAUGUCAACUUUUUCUAUUCAAUUCAAGUGGAUGAGGAUGAAUUGAUAACUAAUAUUUUUUGGGCUGACUCCAAAAUGGUUUCAGACUAUGCGUUAUUCGGCAAUGUUAUAUGCUUUGACACCACAUACAGGAAACUAGAUGAUGGACGUCCAUUUGGUUUGAUUGUCGGGGUGAAUAAUCAUCAGAAAACUGUUGUCUUUGGUGCUGCAUUUCUCUAUGAUGAAACCGCUGCAAGUUUUGGUUGGCUUUUCAGAACUUUCCUAAAAGUUAUGUCAGGAAAACAUCCACGUACAGUUCUCACCGAUGAAGAUGCGGCAAUGGCAAAGGCAAUUCGUGAAGUCUUCCCUCACUCUCACGGUAGACUUUGCGUGUGGCAUAUGAAUCAAAAUGCUUGCAAGCACCUGGCCGGAGUUGUUGACGAAGAAGUUCAAUGCUGA
rnacentral:rRNA from 1 species